rnacentral:lncRNA from 1 species
CAGGAGAAGCUGUAGGUCGGGAGGUAGAGGUGGCAGUGGGCGUGCAGGAGAAGCUGUAGGUCAGAGUGGAGAGGUGGCAGUGGGCGUGCAGGAGAAGCUGUAGGUCAGGGGGUAGAGGUGGCAGUGGGCGUGCAGGAGAAGCUGUAGGUCAGGGGGUAGAGGUGGCAGUGGGCGUGCAGGAGAAGCUGUAGGUCAGGAGGUAGAGGUGGCAGUGGGCGUGCAGGAGAAGGUGUAGGUCAGGGGGUAGAGGUGGCAGUGGGCGUGCAGGAGAAGCUGUAGGUCGGGAGGUAGAGGUGGCAGUGGGCGUGCAGGAGAAGCUGUAGGUCAGGGGGUAGAGGUGGCAGUGGGCGUGCAGGAGAAGCUGUAGGUCGGGGGGUAGAGGUGGCAGUGGGCGUGCAGGAGAAGGUGUAGGUCAGGAGGCAGAGGUGGCAGUGGGCGUGCAGGAGAAGCUGUAGGUCGGGAGGUAGAGGUGGCAGUGGGCGUGCAGGAGAAGCUGUAGGUCGGGAGGUAGAGGUGGCAGUGGGCGUGCAGGAGAAGCUGUAGGUCG